GAUGAACGCUAGCUACAGGCUUAACACAUGCAAGUCGAGGGGUAACAAGAGAAGAGCUUGCUUUUCUUGUUGACGACCGGCGCACGGGUGAGUAACGCGUAUCCAACCUGCCUAUAACUAGGGAAUAACCUUGCGAAAGUAAGACUAAUACCCUAUGAUUUCCUUUGAUGACAUCAGAUUAGGAAUAAAGAUUUAUCGGUUAUAGAUGGGGAUGCGUCUGAUUAGCUUGUUGGCGGGGUAACGGCCCACCAAGGCAACGAUCAGUAGGGGUUCUGAGAGGAAGGUCCCCCACAUUGGAACUGAGACACGGUCCAAACUCCUACGGGAGGCAGCAGUGAGGAAUAUUGGUCAAUGGGCGGAAGCCUGAACCAGCCAAGUAGCGUGCAGGAUGACGGCCCUAUGGGUUGCAAACUGCUUUUAUACAGGAAUAAAGUUAGCCACGUGUGGUUAUUUGUAGGUACUGUAUGAAUAAGGACCGGCUAAUUCCGUGCCAGCCGCCGCAGUAA
rnacentral:rRNA from 1 species